AGGCGACGAUCCCUAGCUGGUCUGAGAGGAUGACCAGCCACACUGGAACUGAGACACGGUCCAGACUCCUACGGGAGGCAGCAGUGGGGAAUAUUGCACAAUGGGCGCAAGCCUGAUGCAGCCAUGCCGCGUGUAUGAAGAAGGCCUUCGGGUUGUAAAGUACUUUCAGCGGGGAGGAAGGGAGUAAAGUUAAUACCUUUGCUCAUUGACGUUACCCGCAGAAGAAGCACCGGCUAACUCCGUGCCAGCAGCCGCGGUAAUACGGAGGGUGCAAGCGUUAAUCGGAAUUACUGGGCGUAAAGCGCACGCAGGCGGUUUGUUAAGUCAGAUGUGAAAUCCCCGGGCUCAACCUGGGAACUGCAUCUGAUACUGGCAAGCUUGAGUCUCGUAGAGGGGGGUAGAAUUCCAGGUGUACGCGGUGAAAUGCGUAGAGAUCUGGAGGAAUACCGGUGGCGAAGGCGGCCCCCUGACGAAGACUACGUCAG
rnacentral:rRNA from 1 species